GAUGAACGCUGGCGGCGUGCCUAAUACAUGCAAGUCGAGCGAACGGACGAGAAGCUUGCUUCUCUGAUGUUAGCGGCGGACGGGUGAGUAACACGUGGAUAACCUACCUAUAAGACUGGGAUAACUUCGGGAAACCGGAGCUAAUACCGGAUAAUAUUUUGAACCGCAUGGUUCAAAAGUGAAAGACGGUCUUGCUGUCACUUAUAGAUGGAUCCGCGCUGCAUUAGCUAGUUGGUAAGGUAACGGCUUACCAAGGCAACGAUGCAUAGCCGACCUGAGAGGGUGAUCGGCCACACUGGAACUGAGACACGGUCCAGACUCCUACGGGAGGCAGCAGUAGGGAAUCUUCCGCAAUGGGCGAAAGCCUGACGGAGCAACGCCGCGUGAGUGAUGAAGGUCUUCGGAUCGUAAAACUCUGUUAUUAGGGAAGAACAUAUGUGUAAGUAACUGUGCACAUCUUGACGGUACCUAAUCAGAAAGCCACGGCUAACUACGUGCCAGCAGCCGCGGUAAUACGUAGGUGGGCAGCGUUAUCCCGAAUUAUUGGGCGUAAAGCGCGCGUAGGCGGUUUUUUAGUCUGAUGUGAAAGCCCACGGCUCAACCGUGGAGGGUCAUUGGAAACUGGAAAACUUGAGUGCAGAAGAGGAAAGUGGAAUUCCAUGUGUAGCGGUGAAAUGCGCAGAGAUAUGGAGGAACACCAGUGGCGAAGGCGACUUUCUGGUCUGUAACUGACGCUGAUGUGCGAAAGCGUGGGGAUCAAACAGGAUUAGAUACCCUGGUAGUCCACGCCGUAAACGAUGAGUGCUAAGUGUUAGGGGGUUUCCGCCCCUUAGUGCUGCAGCUAACGCAUUAAGCACUCCGCCUGGGGAGUACGACCGCAAGGUUGAAACUCAAAGGAAUUGACGGGGACCCGCACAAGCGGUGGAGCAUGUGGUUUAAUUCGAAGCAACGCGAAGAACCUUACCAAAUCUUGACAUCCUUUGACAACUCUAGAGAUAGAGCCUUCCCCUUCGGGGGACAAAGUGACAGGUGGUGCAUGGUUGUCGUCAGCUCGUGUCGUGAGAUGUUGGGUUAAGUCCCGCAACGAGCGCAACCCUUAAGCUUAGUUGCCAUCAUUAAGUUGGGCACUCUAAGUUGACUGCCGGUGACAAACCGGAGGAAGGUGGGGAUGACGUCAAAUCAUCAUGCCCCUUAUGAUUUGGGCUACACACGUGCUACAAUGGACAAUACAAAGGGCAGCGAAACCGCGAGGUCAAGCAAAUCCCAUAAAGUUGUUCUCAGUUCGGAUUGUAGUCUGCAACUCGACUACAUGAAGCUGGAAUCGCUAGUAAUCGUAGAUCAGCAUGCUACGGUGAAUACGUUCCCGGGUCU
rnacentral:rRNA from 1 species